rnacentral:lncRNA from 1 species
ACUUUGCUCCUGGUUGCCGUACCUAACAACCUCCUUCCUUGCUUCCUACCAUCAUUGAAGAGCUAGAUACUGCCUGUCACUCUGGCUUUUCAGCUCACCUGCUGCACAUUUUAAUGUGCACAGAGGUGACCCAUGCUAGACUGCAGAUGCCCGGCUCAUGGCCCUCCUCAUCUGCGGUGUCCUGAUCUUUCCUCUGAUAGCAGUUACUCACUGCCCUAGUCAUCUCCUGGAGCUUGGCAUUGCUGCUACUGUGAGACCCCAAAACUUGACUUCAGAUGCCACAUUCUCUUCCCACACAGCCCUCUUGUCCUCAUUAACUUUCUCUUGAACCUGUCACCUGACAAUUCUUCAAUACGGUAGAGUUCUCUAACCCUUCUAUGCUGUGGUUUCCUAACUCUCCCACAGAGUCCUGACUUUCUUCUUGUCCCUUUUGGAACAGAGUGGGCAAUACCCCCAACUUUGAGUUAGUUGCCUUCUGACUCUACAUGCCGGGUAACAUACGAGCCUGGUGUAGCUGAUCUUUGCACCAUGGACACCAAUCCACAGAGGCACACAUCUUGGAGCAAAUCACUCAGAAAAGGUUGACUGGCCUCCUUGAAAAUCGUGAUCACCAACCUCAGAAGCCACACCCUGCAGCUGUCCCACCUCUCUGAUGUGUUCCCCACGCCUUCAGCUCAGGCCAGAGAUUGCCAGACUCUGUUGGGAUAACUAGCAAAAUAAGAGUCCUUCCUUCUCCCUCAGCUGACAUCUGUGGGCCCCACAAUGAAAACGGUGACUGACCAUGCCGCCCACUCACCCUAAGACACCCAGCAGUCCACAAGCCCCACGGAACAGCCCCUGAACAUUUCCCUUCACUCUCCAACAUGGAGGGAGAACCCAGAAACUAGGACCUCUUAGGAGUCCCUCCAUCGUGAUCAGCAAACUCAGAGGACUUGAGAGGACCCAGAGACUGGGGGGAGCAGUAAACAGAAAAAGUAUCUUUCGGUGGUAAUUGAUAUUUUCCAUAUGCAGAGAAAUCGUACAAAUGAAAUGAGAAUAGGGUGUUGUAAAGAAUCAGUGAGAAAGAGCAAGAACUCUUAGACAUGAAAAAUGAGGCAGAAAUUAAAAUUCCCAAGAUUUUUGUAUGAUAAAGGUGAGGGGAUAUAUGAAAGAGAAGCAUUUACAACAGGAAAAAACUGAAAACAGUGUCCAAUAACAGGGAGCUUUAAAAAUAUACACGCAUCCAUGAAUAAGACAGAGUAUUUUACUGUCCUCAAAACUGAUGUCAAAAAGAAGCAAAUACACGAGCCGGUCCUGAUGGCCUAGCAGUUAAAGUUCAGCACACUCCGCUUUGGUGACGCGGGUUCAGUUCCCAGGUGCAGAACCACACCACUUGUCUGUCGUAGCCAUGCUGUGGUGGUGGCUCACAUAGAAGAACUUACAACUAUUCACAACUAUGUACUGGGGCUUUGUCGGAGGGGUGGGGGAGAAGGAAGAAAAAAGGAGGAAGAUUGGCAACAGAUGUUAGCUUUGGACGAAUCUUCCCCUGCAAAAAAAAAAAAGCAGCAAAUACAACAGGAAACCAUUAACUGGUCAUUUAUAGGGGAUGGGGUAAAUAAUAACCUUUAUUUCUACUUGAAUUGCUAUAUUUUCCAAAAUUUCCCCAAGUUACAUGUAUUCGUAAUUCAAAAAAAAUUUUUUUAACAAAAUAAAAUUGCCUUUAACUGUGUCAAUAUCCCAGUGACUUGGCCAAAGUUUACAGGAAAUAAAAAUACAUUUCCAGAAGGAGAGAAGGUC